rnacentral:tRNA from 1 species
AUUCAAAUAGCUUAUAUUUAGAGCAUGACACUGAAGAUGUUAGGGAGAUUGUCUUAAUCUUUGGAUA